rnacentral:rRNA from 1 species
UACGUAGGGUGCAAGCGUUGUCCGGAAUCAUUGGGCGUAAAGCGCGCGUAGGUGGCCAUUUAAGUCCGCUGUGAAAGUCAAAGGCUCAACCUUUGAAAGCCGGUGGAUACUGGAUGGCUAGAGUACGGAAGAGGCGAGUGGAAUUCCUGGUGUAGCGGUGGAAUGCGCAGAUAUCAGGAGGAACACCAAUAGCGAAGGCAGCUCGCUGGGACGUUACUGACACUGAGGCGCGAAAGCGUGGGGAGCGAACAGG